CGAACGCUGGCGGCGUGCCUAAUACAUGCAAGUAGAACGCUGAGAACUGGUGCUUGCACCGGUUCAAGGAGUUGCGAACGGGUGAGUAACGCGUAGGUAACCUACCUCAUAGCGGGGGAUAACUAUUGGAAACGAUAGCUAAUACCGCAUAAGAGAGACUAACGCAUGUUAGUAAUUUAAAAGGGGCAAUUGCUCCACUAUGAGAUGGACCUGCGUUGUAUUAGCUAGUUGGUGAGGUAAAGGCUCACCAAGGCGACGAUACAUAGCCGACCUGAGAGGGUGAUCGGCCACACUGGGACUGAGACACGGCCCAGACUCCUACGGGAGGCAGCAGUAGGGAAUCUUCGGCAAUGGGGGCAACCCUGACCGAGCAACGCCGCGUGAGUGAAGAAGGUUUUCGGAUCGUAAAGCUCUGUUGUUAGAGAAGAAUGAUGGUGGGAGUGGAAAAUCCACCAAGUGACGGUAACUAACCAGAAAGGGACGGCUAACUACGUGCCAGCAGCCGCGGUAAUACGUAGGUCCCGAGCGUUGUCCGGAUUUAUUGGGCGUAAAGCGAGCGCAGGCGGUUUUUUAAGUCUGAAGUUAAAGGCAUUGGCUCAACCAAUGUACGCUUUGGAAACUGGAGAACUUGAGUGCAGAAGGGGAGAGUGGAAUUCCAUGUGUAGCGGUGAAAUGCGUAGAUAUAUGGAGGUACACCGGUGGCGAAAGCGGCUCUCUGGUCUGUAACUGACGCUGAGGCUCGA
rnacentral:rRNA from 1 species